rnacentral:tRNA from 1 species
CCGUCGACUUUGAAAUCGUGAGGGUUCAAGUCCCUCUAUCCCCA